UGGGGAAUAUUGGACAAUGGGCGCAAGCCUGAUCCAGCAAUGCCGCGUGUGUGAAGAAGGCCUUCGGGUUGUAAAGCACUUUAAGCAGGGAAGAAAAAACUCGGUCUAAUACAUCGAGUCUUGACGGUACCUGAAGAAUAAGCACCGGCUAACUCUGUGCCAGCAGCCGCGGUAAUACAGAGGGUGCUAGCGUUAAUCGGAUUUACUGGGCGUAAAGCGUGUGUAGGUGGUUGUUCAAGUCAGUUGUGAAAUCCCCUGGGCUUAACCUGGGAACUGCUUCUGAGACUGAACGACUAGAGUACGGUAGAGGGUGGUGGAAUUUCCGGUGUAGCGGUGAAAUGCGUAGAUAUCGGAAGGAACAUCAAUGGCGAAGGCAGCCACCUGGGGCCUGUACUGACACUGAGACACGAAAGCGUGGGGAUCAAACAGGAUUAGAUACCCUGAUAGUCCACGCCGUAAACGAUGAGAACUUGACGUCGGUUUGCUCUGCAAGUCGGUGUCGUAGCUAACGCGAUAAGUUCUCCGCCUGGGGAGUACGG
rnacentral:rRNA from 1 species